GACUCUAAUAACCCAAGAUCCUCAACUCCCACUAUGGAAGCAUGCGCCCUUGGCUGAAGACCCUACUGUAGGAAGCUGCCAGUAGGACUUCAGUGAGCAGUAGCCUCAGGUGAAUAGGGUGGGAAGGCAAGUCAAUGUUCCUGAGAAUUUGGGGCAACCAUUAUCUUCUUUUUGAGAAGCCCCAGAGAAAGUUUAUUUCUUACCUUCAGUCAGUAAAAGUUGUAUUUUAUCCUAAGCAAUCAUUGUGUCUUAAUCUCUCAGACAGUGAUUUGUACGGCUGUCCUGGUUCCCUCUUUGCAAGUGCAAACUGGCUCAAGCAGAGGGCUCAAAUACCCCAUCGG
rnacentral:lncRNA from 1 species